GAUGAACGCUGGCGGCGUGCCUAAUACAUGCAAGUCGAGCGAACAGACGAGGAGCUUGCUCCUCUGACGUUAGCGGCGGACGGGUGAGUAACACGUGGAUAACCUACCUAUAAGACUGGGAUAACUUCGGGAAACCGGAGCUAAUACCGGAUAAUAUAUUGAACCGCAUGGUUCAAUAGUGAAAGACGGUUUUGCUGUCACUUAUAGAUGGAUCCGCGCCGCAUUAGCUAGUUGGUAAGGUAACGGCUUACCAAGGCAACGAUGCGUAGCCGACCUGAGAGGGUGAGCGGCCACACUGGAACUGAGACACGGUCCAGACUCCUACGGGAGGCAGCAGUAGGGAAUCUUCCGCAAUGGGCGAAAGCCUGACGGAGCAACGCCGCGUGAGUGAUGAAGGUCUUCGGAUCGUAAAACUCUGUUAUUAGGGAAGAACAAAUGUGUAAGUAACUAUGCACGUCUUGACGGUACCUAAUCGGAAAGCCACGGCUAACUACGUG
rnacentral:rRNA from 1 species